UACGAAGGGGGCUAGCGUUGCUCGGAAUCACUGGGCGUAAAGGGUGCGUAGGCGGGUCUUUAAGUCAGGGGUGAAAUCCCUCGGCCCAACUGAGGAACUGCGCCCGAGACUGCUUCUCUUGAGUCCCGGAGAGGAAGAUGGAAUUCCCGGUGUAGCGGUGAAAUGUGUAGAGAUCGGGAGGAACACCGGUGGCGAAGGCGGUCUUCUGGACGGUGACUGACGCUGAGGCGCGAAAGCGUGGGGAGCAAACGGG
rnacentral:rRNA from 1 species